rnacentral:rRNA from 1 species
GAUGAACGCUGGCGGCGUGCCUAAUACAUGCAAGUCGAGCGAACAGACGAGGAGCUUGCUCCUCUGACGUUAGCGGCGGACGGGUGAGUAACACGUGUAUAACCUACCUAUAAGACUGGGAUAACUUCGGGAACCCGGAGCUAAUACCGGAUAAUAUAUUGAACCGCAUGGUUCAAUAGUGAAAGACGGUUUUGCUGUCCCUUAUAGAUGGAUCCGCGCCGCAUUAGCUAGUUGGUAAGGUAACGGCUUACCAAGGCAACGAUGCGUAGCCGACCUGAGAGGGUGAUCGGCCACACUGGAACUGAGACACGGUCCAGACUCCUACGGGAGGCAGCAGUAGGGAAUCUUCCGCAAUGGGCGAAAGCCUGACGGAGCAACGCCGCGUGAGUGAUGAAGGUCUUCGGAUCGUAAAACUCUGUUAUUAGGGAAGAACAAAUGUGUAAGUAACUAUGCACGUCUUGACGGUACCUAAUCAGAAAGCCACGGCUAACUACGUG